rnacentral:lncRNA from 1 species
CGCAAUAAAUAGAGGUGAUCUAAUUGCGAAAAAUUAAGCGACGAGUAUUUCGGAUUUUUCGUUUUCCGAAUCAUAUUAGAACGUUUUGAUAUGCGGGGGUUUAGUCAUCCGCGAAAUUCUUUCGCUCUAUACAGCGACGGAUCGCGUCUUACGGUGUAAAAACACGUGACAGAACAUUUGAUUUUUAUUUAUGUAUUUUGUUUGAUUGUUUGAAUUUAUUGGAUAAGGUCGGGAAGCUUUUUAUGGGAUUUAAGGAUGAUUUAAGGUUUCAGACAUUAACAACAAUAACAACCACGAGUGCAAUACCGGAUAUCUCGACAUUCAAAUAAAAACGGAAAGAAUAUUGAGGACAACCAAUACAAUGAGAGCCUGAUAUCAAACUUCCGGAAACUUGAUCGUAUCAAAAUUGUAACUUAAAAUAAAAAUACUACUUAUAAUCAAUAGUACUUUUUAUUAAAAAACCUAAAAUGUAUGCCUAAAUUUCUGAAAUGAUUUAAUUAAGUGUUCAAGUUAGGAAAUUUUUUGCAGGUAAACAGUAGCUGGGAAAACGAUGGAUUUUAGGGAAGUUUGUAUUCAAAAUUAGGAAUUUGUUGUAAACGUUGUUCAACUAGGAUAAAUUUUAUAUUUGCAAUAAAAUUAGUGCUGAAAAAAUGAUGGAAAUUCCGGGUAAUUCUUGCCAAAACGUAUUAAAUGUACGUGAAAACCUUUUUCUGAAAAAUUGUGUCAUUUUUAUUUAAAUUCUCGAAAAUAUCAAAAAUCUUAAACGAAUUACAUCAAAGUUGAAUUCCAUCAAUUUUUUGUUUCAAAAUAUAAACUGAUUUUCAUUAAAUUUGUUACAUAAUUAGAACAUAGCUUGAACUAGGAAUAGUGGUGAAAUUAUGGGUAAUUUUUAUCAAAAAUCACGAUUUUCAAGGGUCAACAAUACAUAAUAUGAGAUAAGGAACAUCUUGUGUUUAUGAUAAGAUAUACAAUUAAGAAAAAUUUAAUUAAAAUUUUUAGGCUAAAUAUAGCUGCAGAAA